rnacentral:tRNA from 2 species
GCCCGGGUGGCGGAACUGGCAGACGCGGCGGACUCAAAAUCCGCAGUCGGCAACGGCGUGGGGGUUCAAGUCCCUUCCCGGGCACCA